UACGAAGGGGGCUAGCGUUGCUCGGAAUCACUGGGCGUAAAGGGUGCGUAGGCGGGUCUUUAAGUCAGGGGUGAAAUCCUGGAGUUCAACUCCAGAACUGCCUUUGAUACUGAGGAUCUUGAGUCCGGGAGAGGUGAGUGGAACUGCGAGUGUAGAGGUGAAAUUCGUAGAUAUUCGCAAGAACACCAGUGGCGAAGGCGGCUCACUGGCCCGGUACUGACGCUGAGGCACGAAAGCGUGGGGAGCAAACAGG
rnacentral:rRNA from 1 species